UUAGUGACCAGUACAAAUACGCUAAAUAGAUAGAGUAAUCAAAAAUGGGUAAGCACCUCCACGUUGGAGUACAUUUCUAGAGGCAACUGCCCGGUUCAGUGAUAGAAACACAAGUGACAACUAGCUGUCAAAAAAUGUAAACAAAGAUCCGCAGUAUAGCGUUUGGCCGCACGUGAAUGCCAAUAUGACGUCACGUCCGGAUAAACAAAUGUGCAGAGGAAUCGCGCGUAUAUUUAGGAGCUUGAUUUCUACGAUAAAUAUGAUGAAUGGAAUGGUAACAUCGAUUGAAAUGAAUAAAGUACAGUCCAUAAUUACUAACAAAACCAACAAUCCAGGUUGAUUAAGAGAAAUAAGCGUAAAAAUAGCGAUAUAAGUGGAGUUAAUCUGGGUCGCCAGACGCACAUAAAAGGGUAUUAAAGUACAAGAGAAUCAUUUGCAGACAUACCGUGUCACACUUAUACGGAUAAACAGACAUACUGGAAUAUUAACUCGGCAUAACAGGAACAGAAGUCCUAAUACAACACUUACAGCAACCAUAAUGAUGAAUGCAGAGAAAAAUUGUGGAGACUCUUAAGUAUAUACAAUCCUAUAAUACUGAACUUUACAACUUGUAACAUGUACCCCUCUUUUACCAUGUCUGUAAAUAUUACACAGAAUAAUGUGAAGUGCAAAGUAUGCAAAAAUGAGGUGUGGCUCACAGUCUAACAAUGCAAUAGUACAUACCUACA